AUUAAAGUCCCUUUUCUGAAGGGCACAAGCACCACCUCAACACUCCUGGCAGUUGACCCAAUGUCCUGCAGGAGAUUUGGAGAGCCCAGGAGGGCUGAUGGACUGGAACACAGGCCAGGGCACUUACUGGACAGGACAUGUGGCUGCACUGGUGGGACUGCUGAAGCUGAAGGAGGAGGAGCAGCUACAGAGCACUGAGGCUGAGCAUUGCUGUGCUGGCCAGGGCAGGACGGUAAUGAGGCAGCAGGUGGGGAGGAAAGCAGCCUCUGUGGCAGCUGUUUCUACCUGGACUGGUAAGUGCACGAGGGAAUUUAUUGCUAGGGCAGGAGUGCCCAUCCAAAAUGGAAGUGUUCUGGCAUUUUUAUUAAUUCAAUAUAGGACAUAAACCCAGUAGGUGGCCAGAAUUGACAUUCUUAUGAGCCUGCCAUUCAUGCAGCUGUAUAAUAAUGCUCUAAUGUGCCUUGAGGAAAAGACAGCAGGAGCCAAGAGGAAAAAAGCAGCUUCACUAUUUUGGGCACCUCACCUGAAGCCCCUUAGAAGGGUUUCUUCUCCAGUUAUAAAUUCCCCAGUCAGAUCUGAACGCAGAUCCAGCAUUUGCAUGCUCAAACUCAAAGUUCCUUCAUGCUCAGCAAAGUUUUUGGAUGAUUCUGCAGAGUACCCCAGGUAAAACUCUAAUGGGACACUGAAACACUGCAAAUGGGCUUGGAUUUUAGUUUAGGGUGGCUUCUGCCUCCAGGAUCCUCAUUUUACUGCACCCUGUGCUCCUCAUGCAGCCCUCACUCUCACUUCACUGCACAGCAGCUCUCAGCUCCCAAACCCACAGGACUGGUCCUUGAUGUAAUUUAGAGGAAAUUCACACUCUCAGUGAAUCAGGUUAUGAAGCCUUUGGUGGGGACAGGGUCUGCAGGGUUGUGCCAUGCUGAACCAAAUUUGUGGUGAAAGCUCCAUUCUAAAGCUGACUUGCAUCUUCCUCUAAAUUCAAGUAAUUCUGUUUCAGAUUUCCAAGGUUAAUUGUAGAGACUAAAGGCUUUUUCCUGCUACACUCAGUGAAACUCUACAUUUUAACUGGCAUUACAAGGCUAGUACUCACUAGCAGUACAUCCUCAGAAAGGCUGAUGAGCAUACAAAGUUUUAGACUAAAAAACACUUUUUCCUUUCCAUUGUUUAAUUUAUAUUAUCUAUAUUUUAUAUAUUUAUAUAAAAAUCUAUAUUUAUAUAAAUAUAUAAAUAUUAUUUAUAUAUUUAUAUUUCUAUUUAUAUAUUAAUAUUGCCCUUUUCAUGCUUUUUUCUUCUUUUUAAUU